rnacentral:rRNA from 1 species
AGGACGAACGCUGGCGGCGCGCUUAACACAUGCAAGUCGAGCGAGAACCAGGCCUUCGGGCCUGGGGAAAGCGGCGAACGGGUGAGUAACACGUGGGUAACCCACCCUUGGUACCGGGAUAGCCCGAGGAAACUCGGAUUAAUACCGGAUGGCCCAACAGCUUCUCGGAGCGGUUGGAAAAGGUAGCUUCGGCCUCCGACCAAGGACGGGCCCGCGGUGGAUUAGCUUGUUGGUGAGGUAACGGCUCACCAAGGCUUCGAUCCAUAGCUGGUCUGAGAGGACGAUCAGCCACACUGGGACUGAGACACGGCCCAGACUCCUACGGGAGGCAGCAGUGGGGAAUCUUGCGCAAUGGGCGAAAGCCUGACGCAGCGACGCCGCGUGGGGGAAGAAGGCUUUCGGGUGUAAACCCCUUUCAGGAGGACGAAGCCACUCGGGUUAAUAGCCCAGAGGGUGACGGUACUUCCAGAAGAAGCCCGGCUAACUACGCGCCAGCAGCCGCGGUAA